ensembl:lncRNA
CUGAGUUUGGGUCGGUCAGUGUAACCAUGGUAAUACCGCAUUAGAACCUAGUCUGAGUUUGGGUCGGUCAGUGUAACCAUGGUAAUACGGUCAGUGUAUUCAGAGCAUGAACAUAUCCUGAGUUAGUAAAGAAAUACGAAAUGGAACAGAUUGGAUUCAUCAGGAGGGGAGUGUCCCCAGAGAGGUGAGACUACACCAUCUAGACUAGUGUCAGUCAUCAGGAGGGGAGUGUCCCCAGAGAGAUGAGACUACACCAUCUAGACUAGUGUCAGUCAUCAGGAGGGGAGUGGAGUGUCCCCAGAGAGGUGAGACUACACCAUCUGGACUAGUGUCAGUCAUCAGGAGGGAAGUGUCCCCAGAGAGGUGAGACUACACCAUCUAGACUAGUGUCAGUCA